rnacentral:snoRNA from 1 species
UGCUUUGAUGAAAACGGUAAUCUUCUUUCCCAGUCCGAUUCGACCAUGACGAUCAGGGUUUCUACCACGUCCAUCUUUCUCUGACUUGACUCUCUCUUCUCUUCGGAGGAUUGGGAGGAUAGGAUGGGAUUGUGAGGACUUUUCUUGCCAGUGUAUUACGUAUACACAACAAAGACUCUGAGCA